UACAGGGGGGGCAAGCGUUGUUCGGAAUUACUGGGCGUAAAGGGCUUGUAGGUGGCCAACUAAGUCAGACGUGAAAUCCCUCGGCUUAACCGGGGAACUGCAUCUGAUACUGGAUGGCUUGAGUUCGGGAGAGGGAUGCGGAAUUCCAGGUGUAGCGGUGAAAUGCGUAGAUAUCUGGAGGAACACCGGUGGCGAAGGCGGCAUCCUGGACCGACACUGACGCUGAGGCGCGAAGGCUAGGGGAGCAACGGG
rnacentral:rRNA from 1 species